GACGAACGCUGGCGGCGUGCCUAAUACAUGCAAGUAGAACGCUGAAGAGAGGAGCUUGCUCUUCUUGGAUGAGUUGCGAACGGGUGAGUAACGCGUAGGUAACCUGCCUUGUAGCGGGGGAUAACUAUUGGAAACGAUAGCUAAUACCGCAUAACAAUGGAUGACACAUGUCAUUUAUUUGAAAGGGGCAACUGCUCCACUACAAGAUGGACCUGCGUUGUAUUAGCUAGUAGGUGAGGUAACGGCUCACCUAGGCGACGAUACAUAGCCGACCUGAGAGGGUGAUCGGCCACACUGGGACUGAGACACGGCCCAGACUCCUACGGGAGGCAGCAGUAGGGAAUCUUCGGCAAUGGGGGCAACCCUGACCGAGCAACGCCGCGUGAGUGAAGAAGGUUUUCGGAUCGUAAAGCUCUGUUGUAAGUCAAGAACGAGUGUGAGAGUGGAAAGUUCACACUGUGACGGUAGCUUACCAGAAAGGGACGGCUAACUACGUGCCAGCAGCCGCGGUAAUACGUAGGUCCCGAGCGUUGUCCGGAUUUAUUGGGCGUAAAGCGAGCGCAGGCGGUUUGAUAAGUCUGAAGUUAAAGGCUGUGGCUCAACCAUAGUUCGCUUUGGAAACUGUCAAACUUGAGUGCAGAAGGGGAGAGUGGAAUUCCAUGUGUAGCGGUGAAAUGCGUAGAUAUAUGGAGGAACACCGGUGGCGAAAGCGGCUCUCUGGUCUGUAACUGACGCUGAGGCUCGAAAGCGUGGGGAGCGAACAGG
rnacentral:rRNA from 1 species